UACGUAGGUGGCAAGCGUUGUCCGGAUUUACUGGGCGUAAAGAGCGCGCAGGCGGUCGUUCAAGUCGCGUGUGAAAGCCCCCGGCUCAACUGGGGAGGGUCACGCGAUACUGAUCGACUCGAAGGCAGGAGAGGGUAGUGGAAUUCCCGGUGUAGUGGUGAAAUGCGUAGAUAUCGGGAGGAACACCAGUGGCGAAGGCGACUCUUUGGUCUGUAACUGACGCUGAGGCGCGAAAGCGUGGGGAGCAAACAGGG
rnacentral:rRNA from 1 species